AGAGAGAGGCCGGCCCCGCCCCUGCCCUGAGGGGCGGGGCUUCCCUCGCUCCCUUCCCCCCCCCUCCGAGGAAUUUCCAAAGAACCGCGUCCCGGCCGCAAAAGGACUACCUAGACUAGAGCGUCUCUCUCCCAGCCACCCACCCCUCCCUUGUCCCGGGAAAGAGCCAGACUCCGCCCGCAAGGGUUUUAUUAUACCAGCGCUGACCUCCAGCCGCGCGAAAAGCGGCGACGCCGGCCCCCAGAAAACCAUACCUCGACCCUCUGUAGAAAAAGAGACGUCAAAAUAUUUUUUUUGAAAAAUUUCCGACCAGCAUUGGCAACACUUUCAGAUUGUGCCAGUAGGACUGCCAGGUCUACUCAGGCUGAAAAACUACAAAGGGAUAGAUCCUAGGAAGAAGGGAAGUGGCACCUGUUGGAGAAAGGUGUGGAGCCUGGAGGUAAAGUUGAACUAAAGAUGGGAACCAACCUCCUGCAGGGUGCCAAUAGUGCUGAUUUUCUAAAAGAUUAUUAAAUGGGACUAAAGAAGCUUUGCCAUAUUGCCCAAGGCAUGAAUUUGAGGAGAGCUGGAGAAACCAAACAAACCACACACAAGAAACAGGAGAAAAAUCUUUUUUUAAUUUGAUCUGCAACAUGUGUGAGAACAUUUCUGAUCCUUUUGGGAAACUCUGCAAGAUGAACAACAUUCAGCUUAUUAGGAACCGACGGUGACUGAUGAUGCAGGAUUCUUCAUCUUCACAGCAAAAUAUAUUUCCAUCCAACAAUCACACCAGAAGCAAAAUUCGGGCUCCUGAAAAUCUUAUUUUCCUUUUACCAUGAGAGAGCAAGUCCGGAAAGCUGAUGGAAACAUGCUGAGACAGUACACAGAAGAAUGCUGUUGUGUAAAAGGUCUUUGUUGAAUUUCUCAAUUUUUAAAUUAUAUUUGCUAUGCUUAAAUCAUCUCAGUGUUCACGAUCACUCAAGGUGACAGGUAUCUUUCCUAAUGAAGUAUUUUGAGAUGCCAAAGUGUACACAUGCAUAGAAGUAGAUGUUUAUCUAAUUAAAAUAUAACCCCUAUGAGAUUUGUGGGAUUGAUUUGUUGAUCCUGUGAAAUCCACAACAUGCUAAUUAUUUAUCAUUAAUACGGGAUACACAGUACUUCAUCUCACUGCCACUUAGCACUGCUUGGUCACAAUGCAACAGUAAUAAUAAGAUAGAACUGGCACCACAAUUCAAACAUCAACAGUUUUUAUGAUUAACUGACUGGGGUAUGUCAAUUUUCUCAGUUGCAAUGCAAAAUUAAUCUCCUAACUCUUAAAAAUCUAUUAACUGUUCUAUAAAGCUAUAUCUCUAGCCCUGAUACUUCUGAAUUUCCAUUCCUUGUACCUCUUAUUACGUAUCAGGCAUCACUUCCACACAGAAUAGUCUUUUCUAGUACUUCAAGUGCAUCAUCGUGUCAAGUCUAUUGCAAUUUUUU